AGUGAACGCUGGCGGCAUGCUUUACACAUGCAAGUCGAACGGCAGCGCGGGCUGCGUCCUGGCUGCGGGGGGCGAACGGGCGAGUAAUACAGCGGAACGUGCCCAGCUGCGUGGGAUAGGGCGGCGAAAGCCGGAAUAAUACCGCAAAAGACCUGAGGGUGAAAGGGGGGGAUCAUCGGACCUUGGGCCAUUGGAGGGGCCGAUGGCCGAUUAGCUAGUUGGUGGGGUAAAGGCCUACCAAGGCGACGAUCUGUAGCUGGUCUGAGAGGACGAGCAGCCACACUGGAACUGAGACACGGCCCAGACUCCUACGGGAGGCAGCAGUGGGGAAUUUUGGACAAUGGGCGCAAGCCUGAUCCAGCAAUGCCGCGUGUGUGAUGAAGGCCUUCGGGUUGUAAAGCACUUUUGGCGGGAACGAAAAGGACUGUGCCAAUACCACGGUUCGAUGACGGUACCCGAAGAAUAAGCACCGGCUAACUACGUG
rnacentral:rRNA from 1 species